GAUGAACGCUGGCGGCGUGCCUAAUACAUGCAAGUCGAGCGAACAGACGAGGAGCUUGCUCCUCUGAUGUUAGCGGCGGACGGGUGAGUAACACGUGGAUAACCUACCUAUAAGACUGGGAUAACUUCGGGAAACCGGCGCUAAUACCGGAUAACAUGUUGAACCGCAUGGUUCAACAGUGAAAGACGGUCUUGCUGUCACUUAUAGAUGGAUCCGCGCCGCAUUAGCUAGUUGGUAAGGUAACGGCUUACCAAGGCAACGAUGCGUAGCCGACCUGAGAGGGGGAUCGGCCACACUGGAACUGAGACACGGUCCAGACGCCUACGGGAGGCAGCAGUAGGGAACCUUCCGCAAUGGGCGAAAGCCUGACGGAGCAACGCCGCGUGAGUGAAGAAGGUCUUCGGAUCGUAAAACUCUGUUAUUAGGGAAGAACAAAUGUGUAAGUAACUAUGCACGUCUUGACGGUACCUAAUCAGAAAGCCACGGCUAACUACGUG
rnacentral:rRNA from 1 species